CAUUGGCCCGGCGCGCGCUCGCAGCGGCGGGAUCCCCGGGGGGAAUCUUCUGGAAAGGUGUGACGUCACCGGGACGCCGCGCCUCACCUCCCCCCCCCUCCACCCCCGCCCUCAGAACGGAGGCGUAUCUGCCUGGCAUCUAAUUCAUAAUGUGCCAAGUUAGCUGUGAUGAGAUCAUCAGGACACAAAGUGGUGCUCAGUUGACUGCUGUAGGAAGCUUCAUACCUCUGUGGUGCUACCAAAUAUGUGACCUCUGAAAUAAAACUAAAAUUGUCCCAGG